UACGUAGGGUGCGAGCGUUAAUCGGAAUUACUGGGCGUAAAGCGUGCGCAGGCGGUUAUUUAAGUCAGGUGUGAAAGCCCUGGGCUUAACCUAGGAAUUGCGCUUGAGACUGGAUAGCUUGGAGUGCGGCAGAGGGAGGUGGAAUUCCACGUGUAGCAGUGAAAUGCGUAGAGAUGUGGAGGAACACCGGUGGCGAAGGCGGCCUUCUGGACAGUGACUGACGCUGAGACGCGAAAGCGUGGGGAGCAAACAGG
rnacentral:rRNA from 1 species